UUACAAGUACUCCAAACACAAUGAAUCAAUGCUUUCUCUUUUAUUCGUUCAAGUACAAGAACAUUACAUUGUUGUGCAUGACCAAAAUGCUUCCAUAAUUGUGACAAACAAACUUGCCAUGUUUAUUUACUAUAGAACAUAUGAUUUCCAAAGAGAGAAAGAGAGAGAGGGCCAUGUGUUCCUUUAGUGGUUCUUAUAAUGCCUAAAAAAAUUCUUAAUCACCACUUCUAGUCUAAAUUUAUGACAAUGCUACAGCUAAUUGUAUAUUUAUCCUAUCUUCUUGUUGUAUUGUCAUAUUGCGACUUUUGCUAAAGAUUGUUGACUUCAUCCAAGGCAUUGACAAGAAACAUACUAGAAAUUCUUGGUCUUAUUAUAGCCACACAACUUUAGUCAUUUUUAUCUAAUCAAUUGAAGACACACAAAUCCAAACAAAGAAAACAUGCUUUAUCCUGGUUUGGGCACUUCUACCUCUUUUUAGAAAACAAACACAAACCCAUUCCUUCUAUGCUGUCUUGUUCAAGGCAUAGCUCCUAAUCACAACAACAAAGACACGGCGUUCUUACAAUGAGGUAGUAGUGCAAGGAGACUAAAUGUUAUAUAUGCAGUGACAAGUUGGAACUUGUAAAUGUUUGAACUUGGAGCUGCUUGCCAUGUAGAAAAAACACACGCACACACACAAACAAACAAGGAGCCGCUGAAGCUAAAUAUUUAGCAUGGCAGCCCACACCCACCCUCCACCACCACCACAGAAUCCAGAAAAUGGAUCCCCCUUCCCCGGCCCAAGUAAUGGCUCUUUAUAUAAUGGUGCACAGUUGGAGCUCACAAGAGCAGGAGGAUGUCCAGCACAAGACUCUGAAUGCCUCAGAAUCUGACCGUGAAUCUCGUGUGUGGGGGAUGGGGCGGGAUCUCAUGCUUAUGUACCGCUAUGGGCCAAUGCAUGCCGACUAGUAUUAUCUCCCUGCCUAUCAACAUGCCCUGGCCCAUACCGACGCGCGUCCAGGGAAUAGAAUCCGGAGCAGGAACUGGCAGUGUCAAGUUGGAGUUCAUGGCCUCCACACGCAAUCACCGUGUGCGGGAGAGAUGUGUGGUGGAACGGAUGUCGGAAUGGUUAAACUCGGUUCACUGAAUGAUUGAUUGAGGUUUUGUCGUGGUCGAAUCGGUCGAAGCUUUGCAUGGUUGAGUUUAGAAAUAGGGUUUUCUUUUUUCUUUUUUUCUUUUUUCUUUUUUCUUUUUCUUUUUCUGUAGGAAUGUUGAAUCGAGGAGAGGCGGUAGUGGUAGGGUGUUGACCUUGUUGUUGAGAUGUUGGGUUGGUCUGGGUCGUUGGAGUUGCUUUUCCAAUGGCUAUGGUGGUGGGAAUUGCUGGUGGCCAGAGGGCUACGUUUACUGCACUGCUUUGGUGCGGCAUGGAGUGGAACCUGUUGGGGAAUCAAUCUAAACAUGUCAUCUUACACAUUGACUACACAACCAAAGAGGGCCAAGAGGCUGGGAGAUGCAGACAAGACACGGAAGUUUAACAUGAGAGCGAUUCAAUUGUCAUGGAAGAUUACAACAUCCAGGCUAGCCACUGAAUAAUUGUGGCGGCGGCUGUUGCUUCCACACAAGUCUAUUGCAAAACAAAUUGUGUCACGCUGCACGAUUGGUUCAACGUGUGGCUCCAACUUGGAAAUAAUUGAGGGACACCAUUGUGUCUGUGACAGACUUAUUUUCAGUGCAAGAUAUUCUGAACUGAACGACCACUAAUUCUUAUUCGAAACAAUUGACUUCAAACACUUCGGGUAAUGGUUCCAACACUCAAUUUGACGAAUGUAGCUUGGUGAAUGUUACUGAAAUGAGAAAUGUGAGACUAAGAUUUAAUUGCA